ensembl:snRNA U6 U6 spliceosomal RNA
AUGCUCGCUUCAGUGGCACAUAUAAUAAAUUGGAAUGAUACAGGGAAGAUUAGCAGGGCCCUUGCACAAGGAUGACAUGCAAAUUUGUGAAGCAGUCCAUAUUUUU